UACGUAGGGGGCGAGCGUUGUCCGGAUUUAUUGGGCGUAAAGAGCGUGUAGGCGGCCAGGUAGGUCUGCUGUGAAAACUCGAGGCUCAACCUCGAGACGGCGGCGGAAACCAUCUGGCUAGAGUCCGGAAGAGGAGAGUGGAAUUCCUGGUGUAGCGGUGAAAUGCGCAGAUAUCAGGAAGAACACCCGUGGCGAAGGCGGCUCUCUGGGACGGUACUGACGCUGAGACGCGAAAGCGUGGGGAGCGAACAGG
rnacentral:rRNA from 1 species